GUGAAGGGAAGGACAGCAGAGGGAGAGAGAGGAAGGGGUUGCUCUUGUUGCCGUUUCGGGUUGGGUGAGGACAAGGAUCGGCGGGGGAGUUCGAGUUGGUGUACAGAUCAGCGUCCACUGCUGAUUACAGUGCAAAGAAAGGUGUCGCAACAUCUACAACAACGGCAGGAGAGGAAAAAGGAAAAGCUACGGAAAAUCAACACACCGUUUUUUCAGGGUUGAUGAUGAAACCACCUUUCUGAAAAAAGAGACAUCUCUGGGUUCUGAUUCAACUGAGCUCCAAAGCACAAAGCUGAAAAUCUAUUUUAAAGCAAUAAAUCUGGCCACUAGAGGGCAGUAGCGCAUUUGGUAAGACCCACAACCCGAUUCAACAGCAACGAACAGCCGGGCAGCACGGCCGGGACGCCGGGGGAAGGAUGCCAGGCGGCGGACGUCCGAGCAGAACAACCGAGAGGACGCCCGGGAUGCCAGGCGCUGGACGACCGAGCAGAACGACCGGGACCACCAGUGCAGCGGACGAUAUCUUUGAGUCCGUGGUGCUCACCGAGCAGACCCCGCAGAGACAAAAAA